GAAAGAAAUAAAAAAAGAUAGCAAGAAGAAAAAAAGAACAGAAAGACAACGAGAAAAAAAAGGAGGAACUGUAUCACAUUUAUGCAAACUGAGGGGGAAAGAGAGGCACCGUAGAAUGAAGGCUUUCCUUACUGUCGUAAGCGCUAGAGGGAUGCUUUGCUAGAAAAGUCUCCGUGUCGGGGCGGGGUGAGGAGAGCUGAGGGGCGCUUUGCCUUCCCUCACCGGUGCGUUUUACCUCUCGAGGCACCGUAAGUUUGAAGUCCUCCAAGUUGUGUUCGGCGCCAUCAUGACGCCGGCGACUGUGUUCAAUAGCUCACUGUGAUUGUUGAGAAGUCAA